rnacentral:rRNA from 1 species
GCUGGCGGCAGGCUUAACACAUGCAAGUCGAACGGCUGUAGCAAUACAGCAGUGGCAGACGGGUGAGUAACACGUGGGAACCUUCCUAGGGGUACGGAACAACUCAGGGAAACUUGAGCUAAUACCGUAUACGUCCGUGAGGAGAAAGAUUUAUCGCCCUUAGACGGGCCCGCGUCGGAUUAGCUAGUUGGUGGGGUAACGGCCUACCAAGGCGACGAUCCGUAGCUGAUCUUAGAGGAUGAUCAGCCACACUGGGACUGAGACACGGCCCAGACUCCUACGGGAGGCAGCAGUGGGGAAUCUUGGACAAUGGGCGCAAGCCUGAUCCAGCCAUGCCGCGUGAGUGAAGAAGGUCUUCGGAUUGUAAAGCUCUUUUGCCAGGGACGAUAAUGACGGUACCUGGAGAAUAAGCCCCGGCAAACUUCGUGCCAGCAGCCGCGGUAAUACGAAGGGGGCUAGCGUUGUUCGGAAUUACUGGGCGUAAAGCGCACGUAGGCGGGUCGUUAAGUCAGGGGUGAAAUCCCGGAGCUCAACUCCGGAACUGCC